rnacentral:rRNA from 1 species
UCAAAGCGGGAGGUAAAUUUCUUUUAAAGCUAAAUACCGGCCAGAGACCGAUAGCGCACAAGUAGAGUGAUCGAAAGAUGAAAAGCACUUUGAAAAGAGAGUUAAAAAGCACGUGAAAUUGUUGAAAGGGAAGCGCCUGUGACCAGACUCGCGCCCGGCGGAUCAUCCGGCGUUCUCGCCGGUGCACUCCGCCGGGCUCGGGCCAGCAUCGGUUCUCGCGGGGGGAUAAAGGCUUCGGGGAUGUGGCUCCUCCGGGAGUGUUAUAGCCCGUUGCUCAAUGCCCUCGCGGGGACCGAGGACCGC